AUUGAACGCUGGCGGCAGGCCUAACCCAUGCAAGUCGAGCGAGCGGCGGACGGGUGAGUAAUGCCUGGGAAUUGCCCAGUCGAGGGGGAUAACAGUUGGAAACGACUGCUCAUACCGCAUACGAUUGGAUUGCCCAGGUGGGAUUAGCUAGUUGGUGAGGUAAUGGCUCACAAAGGCGACGAUACCUUGCUGGUCGUAGAGGAUGAUCAGCAACACUGGGACUGAGACACGUCCCAGAAUCCUACGGGAGGCAGCAGUGGGGAAUAUUGCACGAUGGGGGAAACCAUGAUGCAGCCAUGCCACGUGUGGGAAGAAGGCCUUAGGGUUGUAAAGCACUUGCAGCGAGGAGGCGUGACUCGCAGAAGAAGCACCGGCUAAAUCCGUGCCAGCAGCCGCGGUAAUAC
rnacentral:rRNA from 1 species